rnacentral:rRNA from 1 species
CCUACGGGAGGCAGCAGUGGGGAAUAUUGCACAAUGGGCGAAACCCUGAUGCAGCGACGCAGCGUGAGUGAAGAAGUAUUUCGGUACGUAAAGCUCUAUCAGCAGGGAAGAAAAUGGCGGUACCUGACUAAGUAUCCCCGGCUAACUACGUUCCAGCAGCCGCGGUAAUACGUAGGGGGCAAGCGUUAUCCGGAUUUACUGGGUGGAAAGGGAGCGUAGAAGGGUGCGCAAGUCUGGAGUGAAAUCCCUUGGCUUAACCAUGGAACUGCUUUGGAAACUGUGCAGCUGGAGUGCAGGAGAGGUAAGCGGAAUUCCUAGUGUAGCGGUGAAAUGCGUAGAUAUUAGGAAGAACACCAGUGGCGAAGGCGGCUUACUGGACUGUAACUGACGUUGAGGCUCGAAAGCGUGGGGAGCAAACAGGAUUAGAUACCCGUGUAGUC